rnacentral:rRNA from 1 species
GCACGGGUGAGUAACGCGUGGAUAAUCUACCAUUAAGUGGGGAAUAACUAAUCGAAAGGUUAGCUAAUACCGCAUGAGACCACAGCAUCUGCGGGUGCAGGGGUUAAAGAUUUAUCGCUUAAUGAUGAGUCCGCGUAUGAUUAGCUUGUUGGUGGGGUAAAGGCCUACCAAGGCUACGAUCAUUAACUGGUCUGAGAGGAUGAUCAGUCACACUGGAACUGAGACACGGUCCAGACUCC